UCCCUGGUGGUCCAGUGGCUAAGACUCCAUGCUUCUAAUGCUGGGGGCCUGGGUUCAAUUCCUGGUGAGGGAA
rnacentral:tRNA from 1 species